rnacentral:rRNA from 1 species
UACGGAGGGUGCGAGCGUUGUCCGGAAUCACUGGGCAUAAAGGGCGCGUAGGCGGCCUGAUAAGUAGGGGGUGAAAUCCUGCGGCUUAACCGCAGGGCUGCCUUCUAAACUGUCAGGCUGGAGCACAGUAGAGGCAGGUGGAAUUCCCGGUGUAGCGGUGGAAUGCGUAGAGAUCGGGAAGAACAUCAGUGGCGAAGGCGGCCUGCUGGGCUGUUGCUGACGCUGAGGCGCGACAGCGUGGGGAGCAAACAGG